rnacentral:rRNA from 1 species
UGGGGAAUAUUGGACAAUGGGCGCAAGCCUGAUCCAGCAACGCCGCGUGGAGGACGAAGGCCUUUAGGGUCGUAAACUCCUGUCAGUAGGGACGAAAAAGUAGGGUCGAACAGGCCCUGCCAUUGACGGUACCUGCAGAGGAAGCCCCGGCUAACUCCGUGCCAGCAGCCGCGGUAAUACGGAGGGGGCAAGCGUUAUUCGGAUUUACUGGGCGUAAAGGGCGUGUAGGCGGCUUGAUAGGUCAAAAGGUGAAAGCCCUCGGCUCAACCGAGGAACUGCCUUUGAAACCAUCUGGCUCGAGGCCGGGAGGGGUAGUGGAAUUCCUGGUGUAGCGGUGAAAUGCGUAGAUAUCAGGAGGAACACCGGUGGCGAAGGCGGCU